AUAAGCCAAACUUCGCAAUCGACACAACCAAAUUGCUUCUCUGGUUUUGGUUGUUGUUCAACAAAGCGGAAGCGAUUCCAUCUCUAUAUGCUCAAUUUCUCAAAAGUUUAAUAAGAAUCAAUCCCUCUUCCUUUAGAGACCUUCGGCUCCAACUCUUCAUCCCAGUUACGAUUUCUGUCUUCGUCAUCCUAAAAAGCAGCAAGUUUGUGUCUUUAUCAGUAAAGCAGAAGAAGAAGAAGAUAUCAUCAUAGAUCAUGCCAGACUGGUCUCAGCUCCCGGAGGAGCUACUGGACCUUAUCUUUAAGAAUCUGGACAAGAACUGUUUCGAUGUUGUUCAUGCUCGUUCUGUUUGCACCUUGUGGCGAUCCUUAAUUCCCUUUCCUUCUUGCCUAUUACGCCCGAGUUACACUUUUCCCGCUUUCCCUAGGGAAAGCGAAGACUUCUACACCUUCAAAAAGGUUCCUUUGUUUCUCUUUAGAGUCAAAACCCCUCUUGCCGCUGAUGUUGCGUUGCCUCCUGAGUAUUUUCUAGGACCGAUAAGCCGAGAUGAGUCAGAUGAUCAUAUAAAGGUUAUUCCAUCUCCCCUUCAGUGCUCAGUGAAAGUAAAGAUUCCAGGAUCUGAUCCAACCUUGAUCAAUAUGAAUGACUGCCAGAUCAUACCUCUGGGCCAUCAGUACAGAAUGAUAGGUAAGGACUACAAUCUUGUGGGUUUUCUUCCGCUAGACAAGGAGAGAGGAGGAGGAGGAGGAGAAUUCGUUGUGCUUCGUAGCUUCAUUAAAGAUUUUAUGAUUCUAACAAGUGUCGAAAUGAGGUGGAAGCAGCUCUUGAACAUCCCCAAUGGUAGAUGCACGGAUAUAGUCACUUUUAAGGGCAGAUUUUACGCAACCUUUAGUUCCAGAAAAAUUGUGGCUAUUGACCCUUAUUCGUUGGAGGUAACUCUUCUGUUGCCCUCACCUCAGGGGCCAAGCCAUCUGGUUCCAUCUGGCAAUGAUGAACUUUUCCUGGUUGAGUCAACUUGUGAUAGACCAUAUUGUCUUUCAAGAUUGACAUAUAGAGUGAGUAGACUAGAUGAGGAGGCUGGUAAAUGGGUUGAGGUCAGCGAUUUGGGAGACCGUGUAUUGUUUAUUGGACAACAGGGAAAUUUCUCUUGCUCGGCCAAGGAGAUUCCUCAUGGAUGUGGUUUGAGUGGGAACUCGAUUUUGUACACCUUUCUGUCACUCAUUGAAGUUUUCCCUUAUAAAUAUGGAGUACAUACAGAAAACGCGGAAGAUGAUCUUCAUUGUUGGAGAUUCUCAAGGGAGAAUCGUGUGAUCAUCCUCAACAAAUCUUUUUCGAUUCUGGCUUUCCGGGUUGAGCGCUAGGACAUGAAUUCUCGUUUAUGAUACUUGACUACUUGUUAUUCUAUUUUUAUUAGAUCAAAGAAUAUGUUUUCCUUUUAUUUUAGGUCUAGAUUUUGUGAUAUCUGAUGUUAGCCAUUGUUCUUCUGGGAUACUUGUCUGGCUGUGUUCUUAGACAUGUGACAAAAAUUCUCCAAAAUCAUUUGAAACUCAACUGUACAUACUUGAACUGUAGCAGAUGUGCAAUGGCAUACUGUAGUUAGCCUAGGGUGAUUUGUUGAGGAUUCUUACUUUGUUGGUAAAUCAGCUAUGUUCUUAUCAAACUUGUUUGCAGUCAUAGCAGCAAUGUCGUCCCUUAUGUCAUACCCUCAUACAACAUCUAUUCUUGCUUUGUCUGUUCGGAAAUCUUUGAUCGUUGUAGAUUGCUUUUGUUGAGUGACUAUAGCUACUAUGGUUUAAAGUAGUGGUGCCUGCGCUGCGUAGUCCAUGAGUAAAAAUCAGAAGGCAUCUUCAUGUUUAAACUGGUCGGAACUAAGCAAGCAGUAACACUUCAUCUUUAGUUUGUGUCCUUGGGAGUUGGGAUAGUGAAAAUCUUGACAAAGUAGGUAUGUUUGAGUUGUGUAGUAUUGUAUCAAAAUUGGAGCCUUUUCAGUGAUUCAGGAAGCUUUUAAGAAAGAAAGUGAUUAUCAUGACAACAUGCAUAGAAUUCAACUCUGUCUCAGUAUUCAUAAACAAAACAGGUUGUUGUAGGAACGUGGAAGGAACUAACUAGCGAUUAGAGGUUUAUGGGUGGGUUGUUUCUGAUGCAUUCAGUCUUUUGAACAAUCAAGGAAGAGAACCAUAAUCUUCAGCUGAUCUUGCUGGUUCAUUUACUUUAGUUCACUCCUAAUUUUGAAGCUAAUUCUAAGUUUUGAGUUCUUCGAACUUUAUUUCAUCAACAUGAUCUUGUUGCACUUUCUAUAUUGCAGAGGAGUGGAACACAGCUUAAUGGAACUGUUCACUGUGACUACCCUAUUUGGCAGCAGCUCAUGAGCCUAUACAUGAGAAUUGGAGGAAGUAUACAAAACUUGCUACAUGGAUGGAACUGGCGCUUGAUGACGACGAUAUGGACCAAAUAUUAUGUCGAUAACAAAGAGGAAAAGUGGAGAACUAUAUUGCUUUUGACUGGUUAGUUCCAGAAGACUCUGUCUAUAAACUUCCUCAACAAAGCAAUGUAAAAAAUUUCUUUGAAGGAGUCUUUUACAGUUAGGUAAGCCUUUCAUCUUUUUUAGAUAUUAUACCGAUA